UACGUAGGGUGCGAGCGUUAAUCGGAAUUACUGGGCGUAAAGCGUGCGCAGGCGGUUCGUCGUGUCCGAUGUGAAAGCCCUGGGCUCAACCUGGGAAUGGCAUUGGAUACUGGCGGGCUAGAGUGCGGUAGAGGGCAGUGGAAUUCCCGGUGUAGCAGUGAAAUGCGUAGAGAUCGGGAGGAACAUCUGUGGCGAAGGCGACUGCCUGGACCAGCACUGACACUGAGGCACGAAAGCGUGGGGAGCAAACAGG
rnacentral:rRNA from 1 species